CAGCCGCCACGGGAAAACGUAGGGUGCAAGCGUUAUCCGGAAUUAUUGGGCGUAAAGAGCUCGUAGGCGGUUUGUCGCGUCUGCUGUGAAAACUGGAGGCUCAACCUCCAGCCUGCAGUGGGUACGGGCAGACUAGAGUGCGGUAGGGGAGAUUGGAAUUCCUGGUGUAGCGGUGGAAUGCGCAGAUAUCAGGAGGAACACCGAUGGCGAAGGCAGAUCUCUGGGCCGUAACUGACGCUGAGGAGCGAAAGCAUGGGGAGCGAACAGGAUUAGAUACCCCUGUAGUCCCUGUCUCUUAUAC
rnacentral:rRNA from 1 species